rnacentral:rRNA from 1 species
AUUGAACGCUGGCGGCAUGCUUUACACAUGCAAGUCGAACGGCAGCACGGGGGGGUAACCCUCUGGUGGCGAGUGGCGAACGGGUGAGUAGUGCAUCGGAACGCGUCCUGUAAUGGGGGAUAACCUGGCGAAAGUCAGGCUAAUACCGCAUACGUCCUGAGGGAGAAAGCGGGGGGAUUGGCAACGACCUCGUGUUAUAGGAGCGGCCGAUGUCGGAUUAGCUAGUUGGUGGGGUAAAGGCCUACCAAGGCGACGAUCCGUAGCGGGUCUGAGAGGACGGCCCGCCACACUGGGACUGAGACACGGCCCAGACUCUACGGGAGGCAGCAGUGGGGAAUUUUGGACAAUGGGGGCAACCCUGAUCCAGCCAUGCCGCGUGAGUGAAGAAGGCCUCGGUUGUAAGC